rnacentral:rRNA from 1 species
CCUACGGGAGGCAGCAGUGAGGAAUAUUGGUCAAUGGGCGUAAGUCUGAACCAGCCAAGUCGCGUGAGGGAUGAAUGCCCUAUGGAUUGUAAACUUCUUUUAUAUGGGAAUAAAGUGUUGCACGUGUCCUAUUUUGUAUGUACCAUAUGAAUAAGGAUCGGCUAACUCCGUGCCAGCAGCCGCGGUAAUACGGAGGAUCCGAGCGUUAUCCGGAUUUAUUGGGUUUAAAGGGUGCGUAGGUGGCUUUUUAAGUCAGCUGUGAAAGUUUGCGGCUCAACCGUAAAAUUGCAGUUGAAACUGGAAGUCUUGAGUAUAGUAGAGGCGGGCGGAAUGCGUGGUGUAGCGGUGAAAUGCUUAGAUAUCACGAAGAACCCCGAUUGCGAAGGCAGCCCAC